rnacentral:rRNA from 1 species
CCAGACUCCUACGGGAGGCAGCAGUAGGGAAUCUUCGGCAAUGGACGAAAGUCUGACCGAGCAACGCCGCGUGAGUGAAGAAGGUUUUCGGAUCGUAAAACUCUGUUGGUAGAGAAGAACGUUGGUGAGAGUGGAAAGCUCAUCAAGUGACGGUAACUACCCAGAAAGGGACGGCUAACUACGUGCCAGCAGCCGCGGUAAUACGUAGGUCCCGAGCGUUGUCCGGAUUUAUUGGGCGUAAAGCGAGCGCAGGUGGUUUAUUAAGUCUGGUGUAAAAGGCAGUGGCUCAACCAUUGUAUGCAUUGGAAACUGGUAGACUUGGGUGCAGGAGAGGAGAGUGGAAUUCCAUGUGUGGCGGUGAAAUGCGUAGAUAUAUGGAGGAACACCGGUGGCGAAAGCGGCUCUCUGGCCUGUAACUGACACUGAGGCUCGAAAGCGUGGGGAGCAAACAGGAUUAGAUACCCUGGUAGUCCACGCCGUAAACGAUGAGUGCUAGAUGUAGGGAGCUAUAAGUUCUCUGUAUCGCAGCUAACGCAAUAAGCACUCCGCCUGGGGAGUACGACCGCAAGGUUGAAACUCAAAGGAAUUGACGGGGGCCCGCACAAG